UACAGAGGGGGCAAGCGUUGUUCGGAAUUACUGGGCGUAAAGGGCGCGUAGGCGGCCUGCUAAGUCGAACGUGAAAUCCCUGGGCUCAACCCAGGAACUGCGUCCGAUACUGGUUGGCUUGAAUCCGGGAGAGGGAUGUGGGAUUCCAGGUGUAGCGGUGAAAUGCGUAGAUAUCUGGAGGAACACCGGUGGCGAAGGCGACAUCCUGGACCGGUAUUGACGCUGAGGCGCGAAAGCCAGGGGAGCAAACGGG
rnacentral:rRNA from 1 species